AUUGAACGCUGGCGGCAUGCUUUACACAUGCAAGUCGAACGGCAGCGCGGGCUUCGGCCUGGCGGCGAGUGGCGAACGGGCGAGUAAUGCAUCGGAACGUGCCCAGUAGUGGGGGAUAGCCCGGCGAAAGCCGGAUUAAUACCGCAUACGACCUGAGGGUGAAAGCGGGGGACCGAAAGGCCUCGCGCUAUUGGAGCGGCCGAUGUCGGAUUAGCUAGUUGGUGGGGUAAAGGCUUACCAAGGCGACGAUCCGUAGCUGGUCUGAGAGGACGACCAGCCACACUGGAACUGAGACACGGCCCAGACUCCUACGGGAGGCAGCAGUGGGGAAUUUUGGACAAUGGGCGCAACCCUGAUCCAGCCAUGCCGCGUGCGGGAAGAAGGCCUUCGGGUUGUAAACCGCUUUUGUUCGGGAAGAAAUCCUCUGGGCUAAUACCCCGGGGGGCUGACGGUACCGGAAGAAUAAGCACCGGCUAACUACGUG
rnacentral:rRNA from 1 species